rnacentral:lncRNA from 1 species
AACACGGGAACACCCACCUUUAGAGAUGAGACACAAGCAGGAGAAGAGGGAUUAAACCUGCUAGUUUUGGAAAAAAAAAAAAAAAGGAAAGAAAAGAAAAGAAAGAAAGAAAAACAAAAAACAACAACAAACAGAAAAAUGCAAAACUGCAGAACACGCAGUGGAGGUUGGAUUCAGAGGACAUGGGGAUCAGUGUGGGCUGUGCUGGUCAAGGAGGGCUUCCAGGGAGAGGUGGGGAGGAAACAGGGUCCACCCGCUGCUGCACAAGAGGGGUGUGUGCAGACCGUCACCUUGUGUCUGCUGUAGCAGGAGACCCCUGGCCAUGCGGGACUGAACCCAUGAUUGCAGCUGAUCUUACUCUGUCUCUUCUCUGUGUGAGUAAAGUGUUGUUCCAUCUAGUGCCUGUGUGAGUCGUGUCUUUCGUGGCGACACCUAUAAACCAUGGAGUGGGCUGACAUCCUGGUUCUGCUGCUCCUGGUGGCGGGCAUUGUUGUGCUGUUUGCCGUCCUCUACACAGUGCGAAUCUUCUCUACCCUGCCCGAGUCUCGGCAUCUCCAC